GUUGACGUGGCUGGAGCUUGGUCUUUCGCUCUCCCCUGGAGACAGCCGGCCUUCCUCCUUUGGGAGAAGACAGCAGAGUCAGUAGCACAGUCCUUCUGUUCUAACCAAAGAACGGAUGUAUGUACUGCAACUGUACCUCUUUGGUGUCCUCCAGCGCUUGCAUGAUCGAUGCGACCACCAGGUUCACCAGCACAAACUGAGCCAUAACCACGAAACUGAUGAGGUACAACGGAGAGACCCAGGAAAGGUAUCUCAUACAGCCGUGCUCAUCAGGAUGACAUUCUCUUAGUGUGUCCUUGAGAGACACAGAGCAAGAUUCAGAAAGGAAGAGGGACUGGCACACAGACUGGAGACAACAUUACAAAAUCAUUCUUACUUCGAAACCACAGAAAUUAUAAUAAACUGACAAUUGGAAACUAAACGGUAGAGCAAAAGUUAGGAUACAACAUCAUUGUAAUGCUUUGUUUUAUGAGUCUGUAAUUUACUAACGAUUCCCCAAAUGAUUCCCUGAGAAGUUUCAUUGAAAGAACUGCUCCAUUUUAAUCAAAUGUAAUUAUUCAUUAUUCAUAUAUGUACUUCAUAUAUGUUGAAUUGUAGACAAAUUGUUUAGCUGACUUGUUGUCCACUGACUAAACACUCCCGAAAUUAAUUAAUUGGAAGUUGCCAGGGGGGGCAGUGGUUGGGGGAUCCUAUGCUGUAUGUAUAGAACUUGUGUGUCAUGAGGGAGUGAGUACAUACUUUCAUAAUCACGUUCCAGUUGUCUCCGGUGCAUAGGCCGUACAGUGUGAUCAGGGCCACCCCAAAAUGUCUGAAGUUGGCUUCAUCAUGUAAACCCAGGCACGGGUGGUCAUCACUGCAUUCUGAUAAACACAGAGGCACACAGCACAGACAUACAGAUAUUGACUUCAGUGCACAGUGGACAUGUUGGCUUCAACCAAUUAAAAUCCUUCAG